UACAGAGGUCCCAAGCGUUGUUCGGAUUCACUGGGCGUAAAGGGUGCGUAGGCGGUCAGGUAAGUCUGCUGUGAAAUCCCGCAGCUCAACUGCGGAACUGCAUUGGAUACUAUCUGACUAGAGGAAUGGAGGGGAGACUGGAAUACUUGGUGUAGCAGUGAAAUGCGUAGAUAUCAAGUGGAACACCAGUGGCGAAGGCGAGUCUCUGGACAUUUCCUGACGCUGAGGCACGAAAGCCAGGGGAGCAAACGGG
rnacentral:rRNA from 1 species